rnacentral:misc_RNA from 1 species
UCGAGUUAGGGUCUUCAUGGCCCGACCUCCAACCCUUUGUCUAUUUGACCCUUUGUUGCUUCGGCGAGUCUGUCCCUCCGGGGACUGCUGGAAGGCGUGAGCCCUCUGGAUCGUUGCUCGUCGAUAGCCUAACUCAAAAUUCUUGAUACAAAUCAGUGUCUGAACAAUUGAUAAAUAAAUCAAAAAAUA